UAUGUAUGUUCCAGUUUUUUGUUUUUUGUUUUUGUCUUGCAGGACCCUGAAUUUCUCCUGUUGCUUCUUUUCCCCUUCACCAUCCAGUUGCCAAAAGGCACCUUGCCUAUUCUUUUUGCUCUCUCCACUCCCUGAAGCUAUCCUGUAAUAAGUGUUGUGAUACUAAGAUACUUUAUAUUUUUGCACCUAGGAUAGAAUUUCUAUCUCUGCUGGUGAUUUUAGACCAAUUUUAGGCCUGCCACUAGAUCCGUUUUUCUUUAUUCUGUAUGUUCUUCUUUGGCCUGCCCUUGCUUGCUACAAAGGCUUAUGGUAGAAAUGUGAAAGAUCACUCACUUGGAUUUGGUGCUUUUAAUUUUUUUACUUAUAAGUAUUUGACAUUUGGCUAUAUUUUUCUUCUUGUUAGGCUGAGGGUGUAUUUUGUAUAGAUUUAUUUAUUCUUCUUGUUCUGUAUCGUUUAUGACGGACAUAGGUAGCUGCCAUUUUAUUUUAUUACCGCGAAGUCCUCACCUAUUCACUCUUAAAUCUACCUCAUUGAAGACUUCAAUAACUAUUUGUUGUUGGAAGCCAUAAUGAAACUGUUGAUCAAAUUACCCAAUCCAAAUCAAAUUAACCAAAAAGACUUUCUUCAGUCUUCAUAUUAAUUACCUUCCCUGCAGAACAGAACAUGGUUGCCCAUUAUGUGAAAUUCCUUUUACUUCUUUGGUGGUCCUGUCUGUUUUCUUAUGCCUAAUUGUUGCUUACGGUAUACUUGCUGUUUGUUUGUUUGUUUGUUUGUUUCUUUUAUACACUCAUUAAGUGAGUUCUCCAUCUAAAUAUCCCAUAAGGCACUUCAGAAUCAACAUAUCCAAAAGGAAACAUAUUUUACUCAUCUCCAAAUCUUUUGUUUCUCCAGCAAUUCAAGUUUUGGUGAAUGAAGCUAUGAACAAUCCAGUAAUCCAAACCAGAAACUUGAGAGUCAUCUUUUUUACACCUCCCACUUUGCAUCUCUCACAUUGAAUAAGCAAUCAUGCCCUGAGCCAUAUACUUUCUUAGCAUCUCUGCCAUCCUCCCUAUCCUCUUUGGUAUGGCCUCUCUUCAGACUGCCUCCUUAGCUCUCUUCUGGAUCACUAUAACAGCCUAACAAUUGUAUCACCUUCAGUUUUGCUCUUUCUUCCAUAUGACUAUCAGAAUUAUUUCUCUGGAAGAUCAUGUCAAUCACUCCUUCUCAGUGGUUCUUCAUUGCCUAUAGGAAGAAAUCCAAACUCCGUAGCAUGAGAGAAAUGUUUUUCAUAAUGACUUUAUCCUGCCUUUCUAUUGUUUCUUUCAUAUCAUGCCCAGCUCAGCCCCCCAUUCAAUGAAAAUCAUACUAAACUACUUUAAUUCCACUAACAUGUUGUGCUAGUUAAGCCUCUUUACCUUUGUUCAUGCUGUUUUUACUCAGACCACUCCAUUCCACAACAUACACUUGGGGGAUACCUACUAAUUUUGAAGACCCCCUUCAGCCCUGAUGUUAACCUUCUUUGUGGAAUCAUUAUUGACAUGAUGGAUAGAAUUGGUCAGAUGCUUCCUUGUUCAUCAGUUGUACUAGGCACAGCAUUCUAAUGUAGCACCUAUUACACAUUUUAAAAUUUGUUUACAUGUCUCCCCUCAUGUAAGUUUGUAGGACUGGUACCUGAAAUAUACUAGGCUUACCUUACUGACAUUUUGAAAUAUAAGAUAGCUUUCCAAGGCUUGCUUUUGCCUCCUGAUUCAGGACUCUACCAUUGGCAUCAUCAGGAAGAAUUUCUAAUAGUAUUAUUGAUCAGAGUCUUCUGGAAGUUUCUGCAGGUUACACAUCAACUUACUUUUCCCUGACAAAAUAAUUCUGCAUCUAGAAACACAAACAAGUAGUCAAAGAAGUUAUAUUGGAACUAAGAGAUGAAUUACCAAAGGAAAACUGAAAUCAAGAAACAUUUGAUGAAAUUCAGGCAAUGUCUUCAGGUGCCAGAGGACACAGAAAUGUCCCGAGAACCAUUCACAUGAUCUUAAAGAAACUUCUGCUGGUUGUCUUGUACCUUUGAAGCAGGUGUGAUUGAGAUGGAUACCUUAAUUUUUUUAAAGUAAAAAUUGUUCAUUCUCUUAUGUACUUUAGCAUACUGGUAUUCUUAUCAAAAUAUGAAACAGCAUCAAGUUUAAUAUUAAUUAUAAAACACAUGGUAUAUUUAUAUUUCUGCUCUUUAUUUUCUAAAGUUAACUCAGUUAACUCUCCAUAUAGGUAUUUGGACAUGGGCUGUAACCACUUUUUAGAACAAAUACUGUGAAGAUUGUUUUAUUACAUGACAUUUUAUGAUGUGAGAUUAACACCUUUGUGUUAGUAAACAUCCUAGAUUGUUCACUUCAAUAUAGAUUUUUAAAAUGUAUAGUUAUACUUGUGCAGGAUACUAGAAAAUGAAAAUGACUGUUCACACAUGCUUUAUUAUUCAGUAAUUUUACAAGAAAAUAUUACUGUUUGAAAGAAAAUCAUGCAUGCCUAAAACUGAUUCUGUUCCAGUUUUAUAAGUUAGUAUACUAAUUUUAAGACAUUGUGUAUAUUUCCUUCACUUAAUUUCUAUUUUCUACUGCAUUUCUACCAAUAUAAAAAACAAAGAAUUCAGUUGGUUCCUUUCUAGAGGGAAAAUUUGUUGUGAGUAUAGUACUGGGCAUCACAUGCUGCUUCCCUUUGUGGCUUUGAAUAAACCCUUAUUUUCUUGUCCAUUUUGUCUCAAAGAAUUUUAAAUGGCAUUGUCUAAACUCAGGAGUAUUGUGUGGAUUGAUUAGUAUGAGAAGUUUCUUUCAUGGUAAGUAUAGAGUUUAAGUAUAUAAAAUCAACUCUUGGUCAUAUAUGUAAAACACAAUUGAGAAGUAAAACUUGCCAUCAACUCUUGGUUAUAUACAAAAAAAUUGAGAAGUAAAACUUGCCAUACAUAUUAGUACAAGUAAUUAAAAACGGAUUAUAGCUUGAAAGGCAUUAGAUCUCACAUUAUUUACAUUCUCACUCCUUUUAGCUCCUUUGCUUUUUUGUUCUCUUGUUUGCAAAGAUUAAAAAUAAUGUUCCUGGCAUUUUAAUGGAACAUUACCAAAUGUACAUUCAUGUGUAUUGAUCAAAGACCAACUUUCAUUAGUGAAAAAAUCUAAUUUUUUCUAGACCAAUUAAAAGGAUAAAAUUCUCUUAUUUGAAUAAUAAGAGAAUUAAAGAGUUUAUUAAGCAAAAACAGUUGCUGAAAAAGCGUAGCAAAGACUGACUAGACUGGCUAGAAUUUCCUCUUCUUCCAGGACAGAUGGUUCUACGACAUUUUAAGCCUUCUUUGUAAUGGCCGAGUGACUGGGUUCUAGCUAGUGGAAUGUGAGUGGAAGCCUUUUACCUCAGAAAAGACACACAAUUCUGCAUGCCCUUUCCCCUUCUGUGGCAUGGUGCAAACAUGCAUGGUGACUUUGGAAGCCACAUUUUGACGAUGGUGGAGCCGCAAGAUGAAAAGAGCCUAGGUUCCUGAAUCACCAGGUGGAGGAAUAUUGCCAAUCCAUCAGUAAUGUAUUUUGUACUUUAUCAGAGCAAUAAAUAAAAUUCUCUACUUUUAGAGCCAUUAUACAUUUUUUUUUUUUAUUUUCAUUGCAGUUGUCGCCUGAACCUAUAUAGAAAUUGGUACCUUGAAAAGUGGAGGUUUCUGAACAAAAAAACCUUUAAGUUUUGCAGACUGUUCAAGAAGAAUGGUGCCAGCAUCUGCAUCAGGUGAUGGCUUCAAGUUAAAGAAAGAAGGUUCAUGGAAGAAGGUGAAGGGGAGCCAAGCUGGCUGUGUACAGAUAGCACAUAACCAGAAAGGAAGCAAGAGAUAUCCAGUUGUCCCAGCACAAUUUUUUGAUAAGACUAUUGUUUUCUUUCAUUGAAUUUGUUUGGCAAACUUACCAAAAAUCAAUUGACCAUCUCAUAUUGAUUGAUUGAGACAGGGUUUCAUUCCAU
rnacentral:lncRNA from 1 species